ensembl:lncRNA
AUAAAAUCAGGCUGUUUAAGAGUGUGUCUGGAAAUGGUGAUAAACAGUCCAUUUUCUGCAGUUUGUUACAUCUAUGGAUCAUGUGAAGCAACUUGGACAAGUUGAAUUGCCACAAAUUUCCUUCAGGGCAUGAAAGCCGAGGUGGAAGGAGUUGGUGGUUUGUGUUUGGAAGCUCUCAGGUUCCCUUGGAGCAGGAGAUUUUCACAUCCCCUGUAGAAGGCCCAGCAGUUUUGAAGACAUGGACUGACAAAGGAGGGACAGCUACCAGGAAAAGUCCAGCUGGUAUGUGCCUUUGGUUUGUGUCAUGGUUGGUAUGUGCCAUUGGGUUGGAUCAUUUCCCUGCCUUUUUACAGAUACUAAAGAGAGGAAUCUUGCUGAUGCAUGGCACUACAGUCUCUGGAUACAGAUAUUGAAAGGAGAGCCAGCUCUGCUAAGUCCCCUAAACCAAGACCCGCAGAAAUCCUUCCCAGCUGCCAGCAGACAAAGUCCAAUCCCUUUGUACAGCGGAGGUGCUGUGAGCUAAUGUUAGUGUCAAGCCUCAUUGUCUACAUCCAAGGAGAAAAAUGUUAAGUUUUCAAGAUCAAUGAAGAUUGUCUACUUUCAUGAUGCAUUGUUCUCACUAACAGUGAUGUACGGGAAGCACCUGAGAGUCAAUCUGGAAACUUCUUUGGCCAGGACACAACAAUAUCUCUUGGUUGUUGAUGCGUGGUCUGGCAGCUGUUGCUGCUAAUCUGGUUAUCAGGGCCUGCAGGUGUAUCUGUAUUUACACAACUGGCUUCUAAGGACCUACAUUUAUCAAGUAAUGAUUUAUACUCCACAGAUUGCUUGGGUUUUUAAAUUCUUUUUUAAUAUUUUUUAUUGAACACCAAGGAUAAGAAAGAAUGAGGGAAGCCUUG